AACAUAUUAGAAAAGCAAAGAACAAGUCAUUACAGGUAAUAGUGAAUCAAAACUUAAGAUAAAUACAGGAAAGAAAACCGAGGAAGAAGGACAGUGAUCUUGCUAAAGGAGAAAGUUGAAAGGAAUUUAUUUAUACUUUGAAGGACCAUAAACGUUUAUUUUUAAAAUAAGCAUUUUAGCACUUUGUAAGCAUGUUUCGCAAUAAUAGUCAAAAUAUUUUCUACUAAUGCUUCUAAAGAGUGGUUGAAUUCACUUGACCCUGCUGUAAAAUAUUACCAUAGAUAAUGCCCAAUACAUGUUAUUUAUAAGCACCUUGUUUGAAAUUCGACUUGAACAAACUCUUGUGGUAAUGUUAUUAACUAGUUCUCUCACCAACUAUAUGUAAAUAAAAGUCAUCAAAUCUGUGUUAUACCACAUUGAUUUUAACAGCGUAAUCAUACAGUAGAGAGGAUGUUUGGCUACUCUUGAACCCGGCAGGCACAGAAGGACACUGAGGAAUAUAGAAAUGGAUACCCAGGCAAAAGCGAUGAUCCUGAACAAGAUUUGAACUACAGGUUCUACACAAAUGAAAAUAAAUCUCGUCCAGAUGGAGACUGCAUAGACAAUAUCCAUGCUGAUUGGUGGGGGAAAGUACAAUAAGCUGGAACGCCAUCAAGGAUAUAUUCAGUGGUUGUUCCCGAUUCGUGAACAAGGUUCAAACUGGGAAGCACAGGAAUUACAGCUUCAUGAAAUUGAGUAAUUAAACAAGGACAGAAAAGCAAGAAAGCGCAUCCUCACAUCUUAUAAAAUGAUGC